UGAUUUAGGACACCCUAUAAAUACACACCAGGGCAGAGUUGAGUCCAAGCCAGCUGGAACCUCUGUUUAUAUCAAAGCUCCAGGGUUCACUUGGAUUAUCUCUGGGUGACUUCAGUUGCUGAUCUCAUUUUAGACCUAGGAAUAUGAGGUCCCAGUUACUGAGAGACUUCCAGUUCCAGAAAGAAGGGUCUCAGUCCCUAAUUUCAGGCUGAUUGGAAAGUAGACCCUCAGGCAGCAGCUUUUAAGGUAAGUACGUUCCUGUGGUACCAUAAUUGAACAACUCUGCUGGCCU
rnacentral:lncRNA from 1 species